rnacentral:rRNA from 1 species
AGAGUUUGAUCCUGGCUCAGGACGAACGGUGGCGGCGUGGAUUAGGCAUGCAAGUCGAACGCGAACGAAAACCUUCGGGUUUUUUAUUAGAGUGGCGAACGGGUGAGUAACGCGUAGGUGAUCUACCUUUAAGUGGGGGAUAGCCCCGGGAAACCGGGAUUAAUACCGCAUGUGACCGGCAUUGUCGGUUAAAGGGGGCCUCUGUUUUAAGCUUUUGCUUAAAGAUGAGCCUGCGUUCUAUUAGCUAGUUGGUGGGGUAAAGGCCUACCAAGGCGAUGAUAGAUAGGCGGCCUUAACGGGUGGUCGCCCACACUGGGAUUGAGAUACGGCCCAGACUCCUACGGGAGGCAGCAGUCGAGAAUAGUCUACAAUGGGGGAAACCCUGAUAGUGCGACGCCGCGUGGAUGAAGAAGCAUUUCGGUGUGUAAAAUCCUUUUCUGUAUGAGCAAGUCCCAUUAGGAAAAUAUCUUAUUGGGUUAGAUAUUAGUACAGGAAUAAGCCACGGCUAACUCCGUGCCAGCAGCCGCGGUAAUACGGAGGUGGCGAGCGUUGUCCGGAAUUACUAGGCGUAAAGGGUAAGUAGGCGGAUUUAUAAGUCAGAUGUUAAAGGCAUGGGCUCAACCGAUGUAUUGCAUUUGAUACUGUAAAUCUAGAGUAAGGGAGAGGAAGGCAGAAUUCCUGGUGUAGCGGUGGAAUGCGCAGAUAUCAGGAAGAAUACCGAUGGCGCAGGCAGCCUUCUAGACCAUUACUGACGCUCAAUUACGAAGGUGUGGGUAUCGAACAGGAUUAGAUACCCUGGUAGUCCACACAGUAAACGAUGUGCACUAGGUGUUGGGGGAGAGAAUCUUUCAGUGCCGUAGUUAACGCGUUAAGUGCAUCGCCUGGGGAGUACGAUCGCAAGGUCUAAACUCAAAGGAAUUGACGGGGGCCCGCACAAGCGGUGGAGCAUGUGGUUUAAUUCGAUGCAACGCGAAGAACCUUACCUGGACUUGACAUCCCAAGGAUCAUUCAGAGAUGAAUGAGUGCCUUUCGGGGAACUUGGAGACAGGUGCUGCAUGGCUGUCGUCAGCUCGUGUCGUGAGAUGUUGGGUUAAGUCCCGCAACGAGCGCAACCCCUAUCUUUAGUUACCAUCAUUAAGUUGGGGACUCUAGAGAGACUGCCAGUGUAAUAAACUGGAGGAAGGUGGGGACGACGUCAAGUCAUCAUGGUCCUUAUGUCCAGGGCUACACACGUGCUACAAUGGUCGGGAUAAUGGGUCGCAAUACCGUGAGGUGGAGCCAAUCCCAAAAACCCGAUCUCAGUUCGGAUUGGAGUCUGCAACUCGACUCCAUGAAGUUGGAAUCGCUAGUAAUCGCGUAUCAGCAUGACGCGGUGAAUACGUUCCCGGGCCUUGUACACACCGCCCGUCAAGUCAGCCGAGUUGAUUGCACCCGAAGAAGGUGAGCUAACCGUAAGGAUGUAGCUUUCGAAGGUGUGGUUAGCGAGGGGGACUAAGUCGUAACAAGGUA